rnacentral:misc_RNA from 1 species
AACGCACAUUGCACUCCUUUGGAGUAUGCCUGUUUGAGAAUCUAUUUGCUCCUUUUUGUCGAUGAACUGACAAAAGACUUGAGUGUUCCCCGACUGACGUUUGUUAUUGGGGUCACUUUAAAUGGAUGAUCGUUUGACUUGCAACGCAACGAGUAGAAACGUAUGUGCAUUCGACCUUGGUUGAUCACUUUCAGAGUACACUCUUGCUCAACUCAUCAAGACGAUCUUAUGUCGUACACCCGUACAACAUCAACGAUCUCAAAUCAGGUAGGAAGACCCGCUGAACUUAA